UACGUAGGGACCAAGCGUUGUUCGGAUUUACUGGGCGUAAAGGGCGCGUAGGCGGCGCGGUAAGUCACUUGUGAAAUCUCUGAGCUUAACUCAGAACGGCCAAGUGAUACUGCAGUGCUAGAGUGUGGAAGGGCAAUCGGAAUUCUUGGUGUAGCGGUGAAAUGCGUAGAUAUCAAGAGGAACACCUGAGGUGAAGACGGGUUGCUGGGCCAACACUGACGCUGAGGCGCGAAAGCCAGGGGAGCAAACGGG
rnacentral:rRNA from 1 species